AGUUGUGUUGAAAUGAAAUUUGAGUGAGUAAAUCCGCGUGACAAUAUUAAUGUAAGAUAAUCCGUAUGAUCAUGCGAUAAUUGAGCAAGUUAAAACUAAAAUUUGUAGAGCCUCCCAUAUAAGUAUAUGUAGAUUAAUGCUCGAUUGUGGGACCAUUAAUGCCUCGAUCCUUUGCAUGACGCACUUAGUGCACCAUUAAUGCCUCAAUCUUUUGCAUGACGCGCUUAGUGCUGCAGGUAAUGCUCGUUUAAAGUGAGAAAACUUAGCGUCUGGAAAGUCUGAGAUUGGUAGAGGAGGAAUACUCAACACACAAGUUGAAAGGAAACACACGAACAAGGUGGAAGAACAAGUUUAUGCAAUCUACGCAUGGAGGGGAAAGCUACUCUUUGGUUUCUGCUGGCGCUUUUGCUGCUAGGAAACUGCACUCACGCUGAGAAAUGCAAAACACGACUUACAUCGAGCGCAUCGUGCAUAACUGAACACUGCAGACAAGAGUGCAUGAAUACCUACAAAGGGAAAAUUGUCAAGGAGGCUUAUUGUACUGGUUAUUCUACCUCUCUAUUUUGUGCCUGCGUCGUUUGUGACCAGAAGCAUAAACAUGUAUAAGGAGAUGAUGCAACAUUGCAUUUUGGGAUCCAUUUAUUUUUU